rnacentral:rRNA from 1 species
AACGAACGCUGGCGGCAGGCUUAACACAUGCAAGUCGAACGCCCCGCAAGGGGAGUGGCAGACGGGUGAGUAACGCGUGGGAACCUACCUCAUGGUGCGGAAUAACUCAGGGAAACUUGAGCUAAUACCGCAUGUGCCCUUCGGGGGAAAGAUUUAUCGCCAUGGGAUGGGCCCGCGUCGGAUUAGCUAGUUGGUGGGGUAACGGCCUACCAAGGCGACGAUCCGUAGCUGGUCUGAGAGGAUGAUCAGCCACACUGGGACUGAGACACGGCCCAGACUCCUACGGGAGGCAGCAGUGGGGAAUAUUGGACAAUGGGCGCAAGCCUGAUCCAGCCAUGCCGCGUGAGUGAUGAAGGCCUUAGGGUUGUAAAGCUCUUUCGCCGGUGAAGAUAAUGACGGUAACCGGAGAAGAAGCCCCGGCUAACUUCGUGCCAGCCGCCGCGGUAACAC